rnacentral:rRNA from 1 species
UACGGAGGGUGCAAGCGUUAUCCGGAUUCACUGGGUUUAAAGGGUGCGUAGGUGGAAUGUCAAGUCAGUGGUGAAAACCUAUAGCUUAACUAUAGAACUGCCAUUGAUACUGUCAUUCUUGAGUGUAUUUGAUGUAAGUGGAAUGUGUCGUGUAGCGGUGAAAUGCUUAGAUAUGACACAGAACACCCAUUGCGAAGGCAGCUUACAAAACUACAACUGACACUGAGGCACGAAAGCGUGGGGAUCAAACAGG